GAUGAACGCUGACAGGAUGCUUAACACAUGCAAGUCGAUGGGGAAGUGGUGCUUGCACCAUGGCAACCAUGGCGGACGGGUGAGUAACGCGUAAGGGACUUACCUGCAGGACUGGGAUAACAGGGGGAAACUCCUGACAAGACCGGAUAAUGUCAUGGAGCUGCAUGGCUUUAUGAUGAAAGGAGACGCCUGCGGAGAGCCUUGCGUCCUAUUAGCUAGUUGGUGAGGUAAUGGCUCACCAAGGCGAAGAUAGGUAGCCGGCCUGAGAGGGUGGACGGCCACAAGGGGACUGAGAUACGGCCCUUACUCCUACGGGAGGCAGCAGUGGGGAAUAUUGGACAAUGGGGGCAACCCUGAUCCAGCAAUUCUGUGUGCACGAAGAAGGUUUUCGGAUUGUAAAGUGCUUUCAGCAGGGAAGAAGUAAGUGACGGUACCUGCAGAAGAAGCGACGGCUAAAUACGUG
rnacentral:rRNA from 1 species